rnacentral:rRNA from 1 species
GACGAACGCUGGCGGCGUGCUUAACACAUGCAAGUCGAACGCUGAAGCCCAGCUUUUGUUGGGUGGAUGAGUGGCGAACGGGUGAGUAACACGUGAGUAACCUGCCUCCUUCUUUGGGAUAACGCCCGGAAACGGGUGCUAAUACUGGAUAUUCACUGGUCUUCGCAUGGGGGUUGGUGGAAAGGGUUUUUCUGGUGGGGGAUGGGCUCGCGGCCUAUCAGCUUGUUGGUGGGGUGAUGGCCUACCAAGGCUUUGACGGGUAGCCGGCCUGAGAGGGUGACCGGUCACAUUGGGACUGAGAUACGGCCCAGACUCCUACGGGAGGCAGCAGUGGGGAAUAAUGCACAAUGGGCGCAAGCCUGAUGCAGCGACGCCGCGUGAGGGAUGGAGGCCUUCGGGUUGUGAACCUCUUUCGCUCAUGGUCAAGCCGCAACAAUGGUUGUGGUGAGGGUAGUGGGUAAAGAAGCGCCGGCUAACUACGUG